rnacentral:rRNA from 1 species
UACGUAGGGUGCGAGCGUUAAUCGGAAUUACUGGGCGUAAAGCGUGCGCAGGCGGUUUUCCAAGACAGAUGUGAAAUCCCCGGGCUCAACCUGGGAAUGGCAUUUGUGACUGGAAGGCUAGAGUGUGUCAGAGGGGGGUAGAAUUCCACGUGUAGCAGUGAAAUGCGUAGAGAUGUGGAGGAAUACCGAUGGCGAAGGCAGCCCCCUGGGACUAACACUGAACGCUCAUGCACCGAAAGGCGUGGGGAGCAAACAGG